rnacentral:rRNA from 1 species
UUCGUAGGCGGUGUGGCAAGUCGGAAGUGAAAUCUCUGGGCUCAACCCAGAGGCUGCUCCCGAAACUGCCAUGCUAGAGUGCGGGAGAGGCGAGUGGAAUUACAGGUGUAGCGGUGAAAUGCGUAGAUAUCUGUAGGAACACCCGUGGCGAAGGCGGCUCGCUGGACCGCAACUGACGCUGAGGAACGAAAGCUAGGGGAGCAAACAGGAUUAGAUACCCUGGUAGUCCUAGCCCUAAACGAUCAGGACUUGGGGUGCAUCCCGUUGGGGGUGCGUCCCGUAGCUAACGCGUUAAGUCCUGCGCCUGGGGAGUACGGUCGCAAGACUGAA